GACCACCCACCAUCUGGUCUGGAAUGAAGCCAGACAGAUUCCCAGGACUCUGUGAAUAGAACCAGGACUUCCAAUAACCGCUCCCCACCAGCAGCAGCCAAGAAGGCCCACAAUGAUCGUUGUCUUAUGGAUGGUUCUCAUUGCAGGAACGAUGUGGAAGGGAUAUAAAUAUCCCCCAGGAGGGACCCCUUUGGAAGCAAACAAAGAUGACCCUGGCGAAGUCAUGCAGCUGUGAGGACCACCCGACUGGACGGCUCCUGUUGUAGGUUUCACAUAAAGUAAUCGCACAUUA